rnacentral:rRNA from 1 species
GACGAACGCUGGCGGCGUGCUUAACACAUGCAAGUCGAACGGUGAAGGAGAGCUUGCUCUCCGGAUCAGUGGCGAACGGGUGCGUAACACGUGGGCAACCUGCCCCAGACUUCGGGAUAACGCUUCGAAAGAGGUGCUAAUACCGGAUACGAACUCAUUGGGCAUCCUCGGAGUUGGAAAGUUUUUCGGUCUGGGAUGGGCGGGCGGCCUAUCAGCUUGUUGGUGAGGUAACGGCUCACCAAGGCGACGACGGGUAGCCGGCCUGAGAGGGCGACCGGCCACACUGGGACUGAGACACGGCCCAGACUCCAACGGGAGGCAGCAGUGGGGAAUAUUGCGCAAUGGGCGAAAGCCUGACGCAGCAACGCCGCGUGAGGGAUGACGGCCUUCGGGUUGUAAACCUCUUUCAGCAGGGAAGAAGCGAAAGUGACGGUACCUGCAGAAGAAGCACCGGCUAACUACGUGCCAGCCGCCGCAGUAACAC